AACGCACAUUGCGCCUCCUGUUGCAGGGAGGCAUGCCUGUCUGAGCGUCAUUUAAACCCAAUGCCGACGGCAAUUACUUUGCCGUCGGCGUGUUGGGCCCUCGUCGGACCUGGAGUCGACGUGGCCUUGAAUCCAUCGGUCGAGUCGAGCGGACGAGAUCCUCUGGGACAGAUACCGUUCAUGAGACCCUAAAAACAUCUGAAAUUUUGACCUCAGAUCAGGUAGGAACACCGCCUGAACUUAA
rnacentral:misc_RNA from 1 species